rnacentral:rRNA from 1 species
UGAGCCUACGGGACGCAGCAGUGGGGGAUAUUGCACAAUGGGGGAAACCCUGAUGCAGCGACGCCGCUUGGGCGAAGAAGUAUUUCGGUAUGUAAAGCCCUAUCAGCAGGGAAGAAGAAAUGACGGUACCUGAGUAAGAAGCACCGGCUAAAUACGUGCCAGCAGCCGCGGUAAUACGUAUGGUGCAAGCGUUAUCCGGAUUUACUGGGUGUAAAGGGAGCGCAGGCGGCACGGCAAGCCUGAUGUGAAAGCCCGCGGCCCAACCGCGGGACUGCGUUGGGAACUUCCGGGCUGGCGUGCCGGAG